rnacentral:rRNA from 1 species
AGAGAAUAGAUACCCGGGUAGUCCACGCCGUAAACGAUGAAUGCUAGCCGUUGGAUAGCUUGCUAUUCAGUGGCGCAGUUAACGCAUUAAGCAUUCCGCCUGGGGAAUACGGCCGCAAGGUUGAAACUCAAACGGAAUUGACGGGGGUCUCGCACAAGCGGUGGAGCAUGUGGUUUAAAUUCGACGCAACGCGCAGAACCCUUACCAGGGUUUGACAUCCUGAGACCGCCUCUUAAUAGGGGUUUUUACCCGCAAGGGACUCAGAGACAGGUGCUGCAUGGCUGUCGUCAGCUCGUGUCGUGAGAUGUUGGGUUAACGUCCCGCAACGAGCGCAACCCGUCGCCUUUAGUUGCCAUCAUUCAGUUGGGUCACUCUAGA